rnacentral:rRNA from 1 species
UACAGAGGGGGCGAGCGUUGUUCGGAAUUACUGGGCGUAAAGGGCGCGUAGGCGGCCUUCUAAGUCGAACGUGAAAUCCCCGGGCUCAGCCCGGGAACUGCGUCCGAUACUGGGAGGCUUGAAUCCGGGAGAGGGAUGUGGGAAUUCCAGGUGUAGCGGUGAAAUGCGUAGAUAGUCUGGAGGAACACCGGUGGCGAAGGCGGCAUC